AAGCAAUCAGUCUCAGCGAGGCCCCUCCUUCCUGCCACUGCCUGGUUGGAGGAGCGUAGCGUCAGUCACUGGAGCGCUCGCAACCUCUGGGACAGGUAAACAUCUCUCUGCAGAAAGAUCAUAUUGGCUGGCAAUGAAGAUUAAGGCACUUUUCCCCCAGCUGUGUGAGUUGAGUCCAGAUUUUCUUCAUAUUCUUCAAUCAAAACACUAUUGCAAUUGACUGAAUACAGAAGCAAAUAUGAGAAUCCACCGUCUUUUAUUA